AUACCCGCGUAUUCUAACCUAAAUUCGAAUUCCGAGCUCCGCUCGCGGACGCGCCCGGCCGCCGUUCUUAAUUCAAAAAUAACAUUUUUUUUUCACAACCGGCCAGUGUUCAGUAAAAUUAAAAAGUUAACGUUCCUUUUUUGAAAAAGUGCGCGUGUUCGUAAUGGUUAUUUUUAGGAGUGCUCGCUUUCGGUGACAAAAUAGCACCGAGGCCGAGGUAAUUUUGGCUGUCCGGAAUAUGGCCUGAUUGUUUUUUUUUCUGGAAAAGUGUAGUGAUGGUGUGUGCUUGUGUGUUGUGAAUAGGAUUAGUAUAUUGCAAUGGCGGAGGCAGCGACCCCCACCCCCGCGCCGCCCACCCCCGGGACCCCCGGCGCGGAGGAAGCUGCGCCCGCGCCGAAGAAGCAGGCUCGCUCGCGCGGCAAGCCGCAGCCGGAAAAACCGAAGCGGAGCCUGCUGUGUCUCGGGCUUAAGAACCCGCUGAGACGGCUGUGCUAUGCUAUUGUGGAAUGGAAACCGUUCGAGUAUAUGAUUCUCACAACAAUCUUCGCGAACUGUAUAGCCCUGGCUGUCUUCACACCCUUCCCAUCUGGAGACACAAAUUAUACUAACGGUAUAUUGGAAAAAGUAGAAUGGAUAUUCAUGGUGAUUUUCACCGGAGAGUGCGUCAUGAAGAUCAUCGCGUAUGGCUUUCUGUUCCAUCCCGGAGCUUACCUGCGGAACGCGUGGAACAGUUUGGAUUUCACCAUUGUCACUAUUGGUAUAAUGAGUCAAUCGCUGCAAGUCCUCUUCAAAGAUGCGUUCGAUGUGAAGGCGCUUAGAGCCUUCAGAGUGCUGCGACCGUUGCGAUUGGUGUCCGGUGUUCCAAGUCUCCAGAUCGUGCUGAACUCCAUCCUGAAGGCCAUGAUCCCGCUGUGCCACAUCGCGUUUCUGGUGCUCUUCGUCAUCAUCAUCUACGCCAUCAUCGGCCUGGAGCUCUUCUCUGGAGUGAUGCACAACACGUGUCAUAAGAAUGAGAGUGGCAAAUACAUAAUGGGCGAAGAUGAAAGACCUUGCAGCGUGGAACUUAACGUAGGCCACAAUUGUAACGCUGAAGAAGGCGAGGUCUGUGUGGCAGGCAACCCGCCUUGGGUGGGGCCCAACGAUGGGAUCACCAACUUUGAUAACAUUGGCUAUGCUAUGCUGACGGUCUUCCAGUGUAUCACGCUUGAGGGGUGGACUGAUAUUAUGUAUUGGAUAUCAGACGUGAAAGGAUCUUCCUGGCCCUGGAUAUAUUUCGUGUCGCUGGUCAUCUUUGGAAACUUUUUCGUCAUGAACUUAAUUCUUGGUGUGUUAUCCGGAGAAUUCUCGAAAGCGAGUAACAAGGCGAAGAACCGCGGAGACUUCCAAAAAUCACGUGAAAGGAAGGAGUUCGAAGAAGACAUGAAGGGGUACCUCAACUGGAUCACCGUUGCCGAGACGCUGGACCUUGAGAAUGAACCCAAACAAGAGAAUGAAGGAGAGGAUUCACAGGGUAACAAUUUCGAGAGAACUAGCAACGAGGGAUCCCAAACUAAUGUCGACCAAACUGAAAACACGGGCACCUGCAAAGUUUACUUUAAACGAUUUGAUAAGGUGAACCGUCGUAUGCGAAGAGCUUGCAGAUUAGCUGUCAAAUCUCAAAGCUUUUACUGGGCCAUCAUCAUACUUGUGUUUUUGAACACGAUGGUAUUGGCAACAGAACAUUAUAAACAACCGCUUUGGCUCAACACGUUCCAGGACUGUGCGAACUACGUGUUCGUUGUACUCUUUACUAUGGAGAUGUUGGUCAAAAUGUAUGCCCUGGGCAUUCAAGGCUACUUCGUAUCUCUCUUCAACCGUUUCGACUGCUUCGUCAUGAUUUGCUCAGUCUUGGAGCUGGUGCUCACAGCCACGGACACCAUCCCACAGCUGGGCAUCUCUGUGUUGCGUUGUGUUCGGCUGCUCAGAGUAUUUAAAGUGACCAAAUACUGGCGCUCUCUCUCCAAUCUAGUAACUUCUCUCCUCAACUCCAUCCAAUCCAUCUUCUCUCUCCUUCUGCUUCUCUUCUUGUUCAUCAUGAUCUUCGCGCUACUCGGGAUGCAAGUCUUCGGCGGGAGGUUCGAGAGUUACGCGCCCGAGGAACCGAAGGAGAGGCACAACUUUGAUACAUUCUGGCAAGCUGUGUUGACGAUGUUCCAGAUCUUGACUGGUGAGGAUUGGAACGUGGUCAUGUACGAGGGUAUUAAAGCAUACGGCGGCGCUGGUACCAUUGGAAUGAUUGCAUCUAUUUAUUUUAUUAUCAUCUUCGUCUGUGGUAAUUAUAUCUUGUUAAACGUGUUCUUGGCUAUCGCCGUCGAUAAUCUUGGAGAUGAUGAUGAUGAUGAAGAAGUUGAAAAAGAACCAGAUGGAGCAGAAGAAAAUCCUGAAGCAGGUAACCCACAACUUGACGAAGACACGGAAAGAGGAGAGACAGAUGAUGAAUAUGUAAACGAAGAAGAAAUCUAUUCAGACGAGGGAUCAGACCACGAGUAUGAAGAAACUGGAUCGGAAGAAGAGGUGAAUGAGCAAGACGCAGAAGAAAGAGGAGAAGCGAAUACCGUUCUUGUUACUACGGAGAAUCAGCAGAUCAAUCAAAACGGGGAUAUAAAGAAAGAGCCGUCUCCCAUCAAACGUCAGCCGACGGUGUCCGCCCGCCCCCGCCGUCUCUCAGAGGUCGAAGUCAAGGAUCAGGAAAAACCCAUCCCUGAUGGCACCAGCUUCUUCUUUUUCUCGAAAACCAACCCCUUCCGAGUGAUGUGCUUCAACAUCCAAAACAACUCUGUGUUCAAAAAUAUCAUCCUCGUCUGCAUCCUGAUCUCCUCAAUGAUGUUGGCUUUGGAAGAGCCUGUGCCAAAAACGGAAAAUAAAGCCACGGCUGAAGCAUUAAAGAAGGUCGACUACUUCUUCACGGCUGUCUUCACCUUGGAGCUGUGCCUCAAGUUGAUCACCUACGGAUUCCUCUUCCAUAAGGAUGCUUUCUGCAGAUCUGCCUUCAACCUUCUUGAUCUGUUGGUCGUUGUUGUGUCCGUUGUGUCCAUAUUUGGGUCUUCUUUCGGAUUCAUAAAGAUUUUAAGAGUAUUCAGGGUGUUAAGGCCCUUGAGAGCCAUUAACAGAGCCAAAGGCUUAAAGCACGUAGUUCAGUGCGUGAUCGUUGCGAUUAAAACCAUCGGCAACAUUUUGUUGGUGACAAACCUUCUACAGUUCAUGUUUGCUGUCAUGGGCGUGCAAAUGUUCAAGGGAAAAUUCUUCUUUUGUACCGAUACCACAAAAUUGACUGAAGACGAAUGUCAGGGCACAUACAUUAUAUAUAAAAAUAAUGAGCCACAAAGGAUGGAACGAAUUUGGAAGGAGUACAAAUGGAACUUCGACGAUGUCCUGAGUGGGAUGCUGACUCUCUUCACCGUAUCUACAUUUGAAGGAUGGCCAAAUUUGCUGUCAGUAUCAAUGGACUCGCACGAAGAAGAUAAGGGUCCCAUAGAAAAUUCGAGACCUUUGGUUGCAUUUUUCUACAUUAGCUACAUCAUUGUCAUCGCUUUCUUCAUGGUGAACAUCUUCGUAGGUUUUGUCAUAGUCACGUUCCAGAAGGAGGGAGAACAAGAAUUUAAAGAUUGUCAAUUGGAAAAGAACCAAAGAAACUGUUUGGAAUUUGCGUUAAAAGCAAAGCCAAGUCGGAGAUACAUUCCAAAACACCGCAUACAGUACAAGACAUGGUGGUUUGUGACCUCAGAGCCGUUCGAAUACUUUAUAUUCACGUUCAUCGUGAUCAACACUCUGGCACUCAUGAUGAAGUUCCAUGACGCUAAACCUUGGUAUCAAACGCUUCUAGAUUAUUUAAAUAUGAUUUUAACUACAGUGUUUACGCUGGAGUUUGUCUUCAAACUAGCUGCUUUCAAAUUUAAAAACUAUUUCGGUGACGCGUGGAACACAUUCGACUUCAUCAUUGUCGUCGGCAGUAUUAUCGAUAUUGUCGUGACGCAGGUCAAUGAGAUGGAUCCUAAUAUGUCACCUGAUAAAAGCAAAGGUUCCGUAUUAAAAUACGUGGCAUUCUUCCGAUUGUUCCGAGCGAUGAGAUUGAUAAAACUGCUCUCCAGAGGGGAACGAAUUCGGACGCUUCUGUGGACCUUCAUCAAGUCUUUCCAAGCCCUGCCUUAUGUAUUUCUGCUGAUCGUGCUACUGUUCUUCAUUUAUGCCGUCGUAGGAAUGCAGCUAUUUGGAAAGAUUGACGUAGACGGUGAAACUAUAACGGAACAUAACAAUUUCCAAUCAUUUGGCUCUGCUUUGAUGGCACUUUUCAGAUCUGCUACAGGUGAAGCAUGGCAGGAAAUCAUGAUGGCUCUCUCCCGGAACAAUGCAGAGCGUCCCGGCGAGCCGGCCGGCUGCUACAAUCCGAAUAACGAAAAGAUGUCCGACAUUGACCCGGACGGCACCGGAUGCGGCAACUGGCUCGCUUUUCCGUAUUUCAUAUCGUUUUCUUUGCUCUGCACUUUCUUGAUCAUCAACUUAUUCGUUGCCGUUAUUAUGGACAACUUUGACUAUUUGACCAGGGACUGGUCGAUCCUGGGACCACAUCACCUUGAUGAGUUUGUGAGAUUAUGGAGUGAAUACGAUCCAGAUGCGAAAGGGAGGAUCAAGCAUUUGGACGUUGUCCAGUUACUCAGGAAAAUUAAUCCACCUUUAGGUUUCGGAAAGCUGUGUCCCCACCGGACGGCGUGUAAGCGUCUAGUCUCGAUGAACAUGCCUCUGAACUCGGACGGGACGGUCAACUUUAAUGCGACGCUGUUCGCGGUGGUGAGAACACAGCUGGGAAUCAAGACUGUUGGUAUCAUCGAUGACUGCAAUACUGAGUUGCGAGCGAUCAUCAAAAAGGUGUGGAAACGCACCUCACACAAGGUCCUCGAUCAGGUGGUCCCGCCCCCUGGUGACCCCAACGAGAUCACUGUUGGCAAAUUCUACGCUACAUUCCUCAUACAAGACUACUUUAGGAGGAACCAUGCGUUUAGGAAAAGGAAGGAGCAAGCAGCAGCAGAGUCAGUCCAGACGAAUCAGAUGACGCUGCAGGCUGGUCUGCGGACCCUGCACGAGGCGGGUCCAGAGCUAAAGAGGGCCAUAUCAGGGAACCUCGAUGAGCUGGUGGCUGAAGCCGUGGAGCCUACGCAUCGGCGAACCCAUCCGCUGUUCGGAGUGCUGCAAAGCUUCAGGGGUUCCAGGCACCGGCGGGUCGAGAUGCACAAACCGCCGGAAAGGACACCAAAGACUGUUAAACUUAAUCUUCAACAAAAACAAGAUUUGGGCUCAAUGAUGAGACGAGAGUUCGGAAUGGAUGGCCGAAUACCUGAAGAAGACACAUCAAAAUAUGACGACCAUGAUCCGAGCGACGAAGAGAUUGCGAUGGAGCCGCUACUUCGUGGGAAAGACUCUGAGAAGAUAUUCCAUGCUAUCGAAUCAUGACCAAAGGUCGAGCCCGAACAACAACGUGCCUUAUUGUGUGGAGAACCCGGCGGAGACGCUUAUUGCUCGUGUUUUGACAGACCAGGGUCUCGGCAAAUAUUGCGACCGCGAUUUUCUCCAGAGUACCUCACAUGAGA
rnacentral:misc_RNA from 1 species